rnacentral:rRNA from 1 species
AUGAACGCUAGCUACAGGCUUAACACAUGCAAGUCGAGGGGCAGCAUGGUCUUAGCUUGCUAAGGCCGAUGGCGACCGGCGCACGGGUGAGUAACACGUAUCCAACCUGCCGUCUACUCUUGGACAGCCUUCUGAAAGGAAGAUUAAUACAAGAUGGCAUCAUGAGUCCACAUGUUCACAUGAUUAAAGGUAUUCCGGUAGACGAUGGGGAUGCGUUCCAUUAGAUAGUAGGCGGGGUAACGGCCCACCUAGUCUUCGAUGGAUAGGGGUUCUGAGAGGAAGGUCCCCCACAUUGGAACUGAGACACGGUCCAAACUCCUACGGGAGGCAGCAGUGAGGAAUAUUGGUCAAUGGGCGAGAGCCUGAACCAGCCAAGUAGCGUGAAGGAUGACUGCCCUAUGGGUUGUAAACUUCUUUUAUAAAGGAAUAAAGUCGGGUAUGCAUACCCGUUUGCAUGUACUUUAUGAAUAAGGAUCGGCUAACUCCGUGCCAGCAGCCGCGGUAAUACGGAGGAUCCGAGCGUUAUCCGGAUUUAUUGGGUUUAAAGGGAGCGUAGAUGGAUGUUUAAGUCAGUUGUGAAAGUUUGCGGCUCAACCGUAAAAUUGCAGUUGAUACUGGAUAUCUUGAGUGCAGUUGAGGCAGGCGGAAUUCGUGGUGUAGCGGUGAAAUGCUUAGAUAUCACGAAGAACUCCGAUUGCGAAGGCAGCCUGCUAAGCUGCAACUGACAUUGAGGCUCGAAAGUGUGGGUAUCAAACAGGAUUAGAUACCCUGGUAGUCCACACGGUAAACGAUGAAUACUCGCUGUUUGCGAUAUACAGCAAGCGGCCAAGCGAAAGCGUUAAGUAUUCCACCUGGGGAGUACGCCGGCAACGGUGAAACUCAAAGGAAUUGACGGGGGCCCGCACAAGCGGAGGAACAUGUGGUUUAAUUCGAUGAUACGCGAGGAACCUUACCCGGGCUUAAAUUGCAGAUGAAUUACGGUGAAAGCCGUAAGCCGCAAGGCAUCUGUGAAGGUGCUGCAUGGUUGUCGUCAGCUCGUGCCGUGAGGUGUCGGCUUAAGUGCCAUAACGAGCGCAACCCUUGUUGUCAGUUACUAACAGGUUCCGCUGAGGACUCUGACAAGACUGCCAUCGUAAGAUGUGAGGAAGGUGGGGAUGACGUCAAAUCAGCACGGCCCUUACGUCCGGGGCUACACACGUGUUACAAUGGCAGGUACAGAGAGACGGUCCCUUGUAAAAUGGAUCAAAUCCUUAAAGCCUGUCUCAGUUCGGACUGGGGUCUGCAACCCGACCCCACGAAGCUGGAUUCGCUAGUAAUCGCGCAUCAGCCAUGGCGCGGUGAAUACGUUCCCGGGCCUUGUACACACCGCCCGUCAAGCCAUGAAAGCCGGGGGUACCUGAAGUGCGUAACCGCGAGGAGCGCCCUAGGGUAAAACUGGUGACUGGGGCU